AGAGGCAGUUCCCUGCCAGCAGCCCAGAAGAAAGGAGCUCUCUGCUGUGGAAAAGAAGAGAAGCCUGAUGAAGGCACAGCAUCUGACACUGCUGUGGGAUGAAGAAUCCAUGGAAAUACAGACACAUCCAGCUUUUCCUGAAAAACAAAGUACAGAUCCCUAGUCAAGAAAAGAUUAAGCUGUAAUUUCACACACCUCGUUGCCCUCUGAGCUCAGAUGUGUCCCCAGCUGCCUCCCUGCCAAGUUCUUCCUUGAUGACCCCAAGCCCAUAAUCCACGGGGCACAGAAGGAAGAGACCCACCG